rnacentral:misc_RNA from 1 species
GGAAGGAUCAUUAGUACGUUAAGGUUAUUCGAUUGCUUAUACCGUCGAAUACAACUUUAUGACUUCAUGCCAAGAUCAGGUGGGUUUUUCAGUAGCAUGUCCGAUCAACAUGAAUGCUGAGUAUAAAUGAUGGUGUGUGCUUAAAAAACACAUGCCGGAUUAACUCGUGACCUGAUCCAGAAGUCCCAAAAUUUGUCCACUUGAUUUCUCUUCUCCUCUGUCCAUCUUAUCAUAGGUGGGGUUGGGGUUUCUGCUCCUUUUUGGUUAUUUCCUUGGGCGGAGUGUGCGUCAUUAAGGUAACUGUGUUGUGUUGGCCUAGUGGCCUGACGCGGGGCACGGUUUUUGGUCUUCACCUUCUGUGAUGGGAAGACUGCCUGAUCACACUCGUAACGCUAAAUACAAACUUGGAAAUCCAAAGUACUCUUAGGAGGGUUUUGUUGUCAUGACGAAAUCCUACUUGGUGGUGCGCAAGUGCCAUCCGCGAUGGGAAACUGGGGUUCAUCUCAUCGUGUUAAAAAGUUAACGCCUUCGAGUCGGAGUGGAUUAGAACUGACGAGUUUUGAGAGAAGUCAAAGGCAUGGGCUGUUGCAGUAGAGAGCGUUGAUCCCGCGCUUUCGUAUCCUCCCCUCCAGACCAGAGUUAGUGAAGUGCAUGUUGCGCUUCUUUUCUAAUUCGCUGUACUGUUAUCCUCUUUUUUUUACGGGAUUUUUUUCGGAGUGAGGCAACCUAAAAUAAAAUCUCAUUGGGACUUCUCGAAACGCUUUCCUUUGUUGUUAGUGUACGAGUUGACCUAUGGUAUGUAAUUCCAACACAACUUUCAGCAGUGGAUGACUCGGCUCCCGGAACGAUGACGAACGCAGCAAACUGCGAUACGUAGUGCGAAUUGCAGAGCUCAGUGAAUCAUCAAAUCUUCGAACGCAUUUGGCACUCCUGGGGCAACUCAGGAGUACGUACUCUUCAGUGUCACUUGCAAUCAAACUCGACAGCGUUUUUAAGUGUUUCUUGGCUGGCGGAUAGACACGAGACAUUUGAAAAUGUUUGUUGGAUAUUGAGUGUUCACCUUAUUCGUCUUGAUAGCUUUUACUCCUUGCUUGCAUGUUGCGGGUAAGGUUGGGUUAUUAAGCAUUCUGAGUGUCACUUUAAAUGCGCAAAUUAUACCCCUGGUCGUUUUGCGUCUAAGGGUUUGGUUUGGUUCAUGCGGAAAGAACUACCAGGCUUUAAACGAUGCUUAGCGGCGUAUGGGAUUUGUCUCAGAUGUGUUGUUCUAAACAGCAUAUCUUGCUUUUUUGACCUGAAGUGGUGCGAGGGCACCCGCUGAAUUUAAGCAUAUUAUUAAGCGGAGGAAAAGAAACUAACAAGGAUUCCUUUAGUAACGGCGAGUGAAAGGGGAAAAGCCUAAUUUUAAAUCCGUGGCCCUGGGCUUCGGAGUUGUAAUCUUACAGCGUAAUGUCAGUGAUGGCCUGGGACUAACUUCUCUGAAAGGGGGGAUCAUAGAGCGUUAUAAUCGCGUCUUUGACCUGGAGUCCAUUACGUACGAUAUGCGCUUCGAAAGUAGCGUUGUUUGGGAUCACAGCGCGAAGUAGGAGAUAAGCUUCUUCUAAGGCUAAAUAUCGCCGGGAGACCGAUAGCAAACAAGUAGCGUGAGCGAAAGUUGAAAAGAACUUUGAAAAGAGAGUUAAAAGUACCUGAAACUGCUGGAAGGUAAUCGCUGGGUUCUAUAAUCCGAAUCGCCACUUGCCCGGCAAACCUAUCUGUAGGCGUGUGUAUCUAGGAGCCGCCAAGGCCCUUGUUCACUAGCUGAAGGGUAGCAGCACCGGUUACUGUGGUUGAGGGCAUCCUAGGCUCUUUGGUCGGGCGGAGAAGACCGGUGGAAGGUAGGUCCUAAAUGGGGCUGAUAAGCCACCGGAUUUAUACGUCGCGGCUGGGGAUGGAAAAAGUACCGCUCUUUAAGGCACGCUAUGGCAUGACGAGUUGUAAUGGACAGACGGCAAAGCUGUGUGCUCAUUGCAGCUUUUCAUCUGACGUAGAUGCGCUAUUCGGAGUGGUGGACGACCUGGGUAAAUCAAUGGAACUCAUCGACCCGUCUUGAAACACGGACCAAGGAGUCUAACAUUCUGCCGAGUGCAAAGGCGUAAACCCAAUGCGCGAAGCGAAAGCGAAAACGUCAGCAACCCCUCAAAAGGUGGAAUGACGUACCGAUCUCCACUUGUGGUAGAUUCGAGUCAAAGGCAAAAUGUUGGGACCCGAAAGAUGGUGAUCUAUGCCUGAGCAGGGUGAAGCCAGGGGAAACUCUGGUGGAAGCUCGUAGCGAUACUGACGUGCAAAUCGUUCGUCUGACUCGGGUAUAGGGGCGAAAGACUAAUCGAACCAUCUAGUAGCUGGUUCCCCC